rnacentral:rRNA from 1 species
GUCUACAGCCAUGCCACCCUGAACAAGCCCAGUGUCUGAUCUCAGAAGCUAAGCAGGGUUGGGCCUGGUUAGUACUUGGAUGGAAGACCACCUAGGAAGACCAGGUGCUGUAGGCA